rnacentral:rRNA from 1 species
UACGGGGGGGGCAAGCGUUGUUCGGAAUUACUGGGCGUAAAGGGCUCGUAGGCGGCCAACUAAGUCAUACGUGAAAUCCCUCGGCUUAACCGGGGAACUGCGUCUGAUACUGGAUGGCUUGAGUUCGGGAGAGGGAUGCGGAAUUCCAGGUGUAGCGGUGAAAUGCGUAGAUAUCCGGAGGAACACCGGUGGCGAAGGCGGCUUCCUGGACCGACACUGACGCUGAGGUACGAAAGCGUGGGUAGCAAACAGG